rnacentral:rRNA from 1 species
CCCUUCGGGGUUAGUGGCGCACGGGUGCGUAACGCGUGGGAACCUGCCUUUAGGUUCGGAAUAACAGUUAGAAAUGACUGCUAAUACCGGAUAAUGUCUUCGGACCAAAGAUUUAUUGCCUUUAGAUGGGCCCGCGUUGGAUUAGAUAGUUGGUAGGGUAAAGGCCUACCAAGGCGACGAUCCAUAGCUGGUCUGAGAGGAUGAUCAGCCACACCGGAACUGAGACACGGUCCGGACUCC